CCUACGGGAGGCAGCAGUGGGGAAUAUUGCACAAUGGGGGGGACCCUGAUGCAGCAACGCCGCGUGAAGGAAGAAGGCUCUUGGGUCGUAAACUUCUGUCCUGGAGGAAGAAAGAAAUGACGGUACUCCUGGAGGAAGCCCCGGCUAACUACGUGCCAGCAGCCGCGGUAAUACGUAGGGGGCAAGCGUUAUCCGGAAUUAUUGGGCGUAAAGCGUGCGUAGGUGGUUUUUUAAGCGCGGGGUAUAAGGCUACGGCUCAACUGUAGUUGGCCCUGUGAACUGGGAGACUUGAGUACAGGAGAGGAAAGCGGAAUUCCUAGUGUAGCGGUGAAAUGCGUAGAUAUUAGGAAGAACACCAGUGGCGAAGGCGGCUUUCUGGACUGAAACUGACACUAAGGCACG
rnacentral:rRNA from 1 species